rnacentral:rRNA from 1 species
UACGAAAAGGAGCAGGUGUUAUUCAGAUUAACUGGGCGUAAAGGGCACGUAGGUGGUUUUGUUUUAUGUGUAUUAUUAAAAUUUGUAAAAGCAUAACUUUUAUAAACGUAUUACAGACAACAAAAACUAGAGUUAGGUAGAGGGUAGUAGAAUUUCUAAUGUAAAGGUGAAAUUUGAUAAAAAUUUAGAGAGAAUACCAAUGGCGUAAGCAACUAUCUGGUCCUUAACUGAUACUAGGUGCGAAGGUAUGGGGGAGCGAACAGG